AAACGUUUAGUAUAGUACCAGACUAAUUAGGACUAAAUUUUUAUUUUUAAUUACUAGUUAUGAAAACUUCUAAUUGAACUCACGAACUUCCAAACUAACAAUCAUACUUAUUUCAGAAAACCCACGUCACACUUAUUUCAAAGAACCCAUGUCCUAAAAUUAAUCAACAUUUCAGACACCAAAAAAUCAAACUUGUUGCCUGCAUCCAUGAAAUGGCAGAACAAGAUGAAUCAGGAAGAUAACUAAGUUUAAAUACCAUCUCCGUCAUCUUCUAAAUUCAAUGAAUUAAAAAAUAAAUAAAUUCUUUUUGGUCUUUAUUUUUUUUUCUCUUAACUUGUUGCCUGUAGAUCCAUGAAAUGGCAGAAAGAUGAAUCAGGAAGAAUCCCCAAUUUGCACGAUGAAUCUCCCUUCUCUCGCUGCAAGACGAAUCCCUAAUUUGCAAGACGAACACCUCUCUCAGCGGCAAGAUGAAUCCCCAAUUUCUCUAAUAUAAAAAGUCAUACAGAAGAAGAUGACGGAGAUUACGAAGCAGCCAAGACGGAAAUGACCCAGUCGACGAGGAGGCAAGCCUAAGCCAAAACCAAAUCAGCAUAUUCAAAGCCACAGCCAUGGCGCUUGUGAAGCAGCGAAGGAUAAGAAGAUGACGGAGAUGACCCAGUCGACGAGGUCAUCGUCGAAGAUGAAGCGAUCGACGAGUUCAUCGUGGGAGAUGAAGCCGUGCCCGAAGCUUGUGCCUUCAAAAUCAAGGUCGAUGAGGUGAUUUGAGCAGGAAGAAGAAGUUCUUAGCCAGUCCCAUGGUUUUCGUUGGGACAAGCUAAGACCGUUUAGUGAGGUCGCUAAUGAAGGCGAGUCUGGGAGAAAUUUUUCAGCGUGGCCGUCACGAGGUGUACAUGACGUGUACCUAUAUAAAGUGUGAGAUAUGUGUAUUAAAAGGUUAAUAACUUAAAAAUUAAAAAUUUCACAACUUA